rnacentral:rRNA from 1 species
GUCAGCUCGUGUCGUGAGAUGUUGGGUUAAGUCCCGCAACGAGCGCAACCCCUACCCUUAAUUGCCAUCAGGUUAAGCUGGGCACUUUAGGGGGACUGCCGGUGACAAGCCGGAGGAAGGUGGGGAUGACGUCAAGUCCUCAUGGCCUUUAUGACCAGGGCUACACACGUGUUACAAUGGGAGUUACAGAGGGAAGCUGAACCGCGAGGUCAUGCCAAUCCCAGAAAAACUUUCUCAGUUCGGAUAGCAGUCUGCAACUCGACUGCUUGAAGCUGGAAUCGCUAGUAAUCGCGGAUCAGCACGCCGCGGUGAAUACGUUCCCGGGCCUUGUACACACCGCCCGUCACACCAUGGGAGCCGACAAGGGCAGAAGUCGCCGAGCGAACCUUCGGGAAGCAGGCGCCCAAGCUGUUGUUGACGACUGGGGUGAAGUCGUAACAAGGUAGCC